GGCAAAGUGUGUGCAGCAUUUUCCUGUCACGGGGACCAGUGUUUCAAAGGCAGGAAGACCAUCACUAGAUGCAUUUUGGGACAGGAUUUCUGUGAGAUGAAGAAGAUGGGCUUGAAUUACAUGGCAGGAUGUAGCAAAGCCUGCAAGGCUGCCAAACCAGUCUGUGCUGGUGGGAUGAAGGCUGCCUGUUACCAGGAGUGCUGCCCAGCCACCCCUAAAGGCAGCUGUCUGAAACUGGAUGGCAAAGUUCACCUCAACAGCGCUGGGCAGGCGACACUGGCCCCACUCCUGAAGGUCAUGGCAUGUGGGGUGGUCCUUCUCCUGAAUUACAGGGUCUCCACUUCCCUCUGGGGGUAGGCAGCAGCCAGGUGGCUCUGCAGCCUCUCCUGUAGGAUCAGUAGGAUCCUGCUGCUCUCUGACUCCUGCUAGCAAACGCCCUCUGUACUGCCUCUGUCCCAUCAACAAGGUGUCUGGGGCCCUCUGCAUCUGCUCAUGGGCAGCUGCACCCUUGGGGGUCACUUUGGUCACCCUGCAUAGGACCCUGCUGUUGAUCCUAAACCCCCCACUAAGCCCUUGAGGGUCACUUUGCAUAGGACCCUGCUGUUGAUCCUAAACCCUCCCUAAGCUGCACUCUGAAUCCUGCACCAUCCCAGCAUGGGUGAGUCCUGGCAUUUCAGUAAAGUUUAAGUACUUGAAAACAAGAUUCCCCCUUUUCCCAGAGGGAAAGCACUUAACCUGUGCACUUAGAAAGCUACAUCAAGGGAUUCUACCCUACCCUGCCCAAAUCCUGUAGGUCUGAGAGACCUGCAAGCUAAUUGUGGAUCCAGGGAGUGCUGCUGGAAUGGGGGACCUCAGGAGCUGGAACAAGAGGGUUUUAGGCCUCCUUAAAACCCCAAAAAUUCUGCAUUGACUGAGGCACAGGGGCUGCUCUAAUCAAUGACCUGCUUGUGGCACAGUCUCCCUGCACCCCCUGUCAGCUCCAAGGUGCUCUGGCUAUGAAAUGCUUCUUGCCCAUGUAUGCAAAUCAGUAACUCUGUGUUUCAUCUCCCAGCCUCAGGCAGGGAAGUGGGAUUCAGCUAAAGGCAUCUCAUGUUUCAGAUGAUUCUGUUUCACAUCUGUGGUUCUCUGCUGCUGAAGGCAGAGCCCAGAGGUGAGCACACAGAGCAUGGCCAGGCAGAAUUACCUGUGGUCAAUGCACGGUGCUGUUCCCUGCCACCUCUGUCCUCUGCUGCCACCGGCUCCUUUGAGAAAAGAUUGCAAAAUAUUAAAAAGUCUUUGUGUCAGCCCC